rnacentral:rRNA from 1 species
UACGUAGGGGGGCAAGCGUUUGUCCGGAAUCAUUGGGGCGUAAAGAGCGUUGUAGGCGGCCAGAUAAGUCCGCUGUGAAAUCUCGAGGCUCAACUUCGAGCUGUCGGUGGAAACUGUCUGGCUAGAGUCCGGAAGAGGAGAAUGGAAUCCUGGUGUAGCGGUGAAAUGCGCAGAUAUCAGGAAGAACACCCGUGGCGAAGGCGGUUCUCUGGGCAUUAACUGACGCUGAGGAGCGAAAGCUGGGGAGCGAACAGG